CUCCUGAGCUCUUGCUCUCUCUCUCUCAAAAAAUAAAUAAAAUCUUUAAAAAAAAAACCCAGUGCAUUUAAUUGUAAUGUUAUGGUAGCCAUAAAAUAUCAGAAAUAAAAAUUAGGAACAUGACUUAUUUAUUUUGUUUGAGAAUGUAUAACUGAAACCUAUCUUAUGACAAUUGAAGACUAAGGGAUAUUUGUAUCAAUAAGGCAAUAUGGAAAUAAUAUAAAUGCUGUUUGCCUCUGCCUUAGCUUUAAGAUAGGCCAGCCCUGCUCACUAAUACCAUUUUAUAGUCUAGGAACUGCAUGCCCAUCUGUAGCUGUAAGAACCUGCUUUUUCCCCUAUCAGUGACCACUUUCACUUGCCUCGAACUUUUAUGAAAACUGGACUCCUCCUUGGCUGAGUUCCAAGUCCUCAUCAUCUGGGCUUUGUCUUCAGGCCAGAUUCCAGGGUGCCAUACUUCCAGGUGUCAGACCAAGACACAGUCGUGCCAAAGGAAAGAGACAAUGUCUGCUUCUUUGAGAACACCUUGCCCAGGAUCUGCACCCAGGCUUAGCACUCAGCUUGCAUUGGCGAAAAUUAUAUCAGAAAUCUACACUUAGGCCAAUUGUCAAGUCCAGGUCUCUUGCUGCACAGCAGAGGGAAAACCAGAAUGAAUACUCCCUGGAAAGCCCAUCUGAGAAAAGGCACCCCAGAAGGGGGCUCAUUCAGGUGUUGCAUUUUCUUCUCUGGAGAUUGUCCACCAAAUACAUCACUUCACUCUGAUCACCUUAUUGUGAAACAUUUGAGUAUUUGAUACAACAAUCAAGAUUGCUGUGAAAACUAGACAGUUUAAGGAGUAUUUACUUCCAAGAUGGUUAUUCACAGCGGUACAUUAAUAAGGUAACUACAAAGCAUAGUGUAGUAACUUUGAACUAGCCUUUACCAUCU
rnacentral:lncRNA from 1 species